GUUGCCACUGCGGUGCUUCUACAAACAAUGAAUAUACGAUAACAAACAAAAGUGAUCCAAGGUAUUGUAAACAAUUUAGCCCAACCUGCAAUCAUGGACCGUCGAAAUGCGAGUAUCCCUGCCUGUGUGACCGGGUCGUCAAUUCUGUUUUUAAUACACACCGUGAGUGUAAACCCUACAAACUAGGUUAAGAAAAUGAAUUUUAAAAUAAACAAUCUGAAACUUCA